UCCUCAGGUCCAUGUUAUACAGGUUAAUGAUAACUAGUCCCUCCUCAGGUCCAUGUUAUACAGGUUAAUGAUAACUAGUCCCUCCUCAGGUCCAUGUUAUACAGGUUAAUGAUAACUAGUCCCUCCCCAGGUCCAUGUUAUACAGGUUAAUGAUAACUAGUCCCUCCUCAGGUCCAUGUUAUACAGGUUAAUGAUAACUAGUCCCUCCUCAGGUCCAUGUUAUACAGGUUAAUGAUAACUAGUCCCUCCUCAGGUCCAUGUUAUACAGGUUAAUGAUAACUAGUCCCUCCCCAGGUCCAUGUUAUACAGGUUAAUGAUAACUAGUCCCUCCUCAGGUCCAUGUUAUACAGGUUAAUGAUAACUAGUCCCUCCUCAGGUCCAUAUUAUACAGGUUAAUGAUAACUAGUCCCUCCUCAGGUCCAUGUUAUACAGGUUAAUGAUAACUAGUCCCUCCUCAGGUCCAUAUUAUACAGGUUAAUGAUAACUAGUCCCUCCCCAGGUCCAUGUUAUACAGGUUAAUGAUAACUAGUCCCUCCUCAGGUCCAUGUUAUACAGGUUAAUGAUAACUAGUCCCUCCUCAGGUCCAUGUUAUACAGGUUAAUGAUAACUAGUCCCUCCUCAGGUCCAUGUUAUACAGGUUAAUGAUAACUAGUCCCUCCUCAGGUCCAUGUUAUACAGGUUAAUGAUAACUAGUCCCUCCUCAGGUCCAUGUUAUACAGGUUAAUGAUAACUAGUCCCUCCUCAGGUCCAUGUUAUACAGGUUAAUGAUAACUAGUCCCUCCUCAGGUCCAUGUUAUACAGGUUAAUGAUAACUAGUCCCUCCUCAGGUCCAUGUUAUACAGGUUAAUGAUAACUAGUCCCUCCCCAGGUCCAUGUUAUACAGGUUAAUGAUAACUAGUCCCUCCUCAGGUCCAUGUUAUACAGGUUAAUGAUAACUAGUCCCUCCCCAGGUCCAUGUUAUACAGGUUAAUUAUAACUAGUCCCUCCUCAGGUCCAUGUUAUACAGGUUAAUGAUAACUAGUCCCUCCUCAGGUCCAUGUUAUACAGGUUAAUGAUAACUAGUCCCUCCUCAGGUCCAUGUUAUACAGGUUAAUGAUAACUAGUCCCUCCCCAGGUCCAUGUUAUACAGGUUAAUGAUAACUAGUCCCUCCUCAGGUCCAUGUUAUACAGGUUAAUGAUAACUAGUCCCUCCUCAGGUCCAUGUUAUACAGGUUAAUGAUAACU